UACGAAGGGGGCUAGCGUUGUUCGGAAUUACUGGGCGUAAAGCGCGUGUAGGCGGGUCUUUAAGGCAGGGGUGAAAUGCCAAGGCUCAACCUUGGAACUGCCUUUGAUACUGGAGACCUUGAGUCCGGGAGAGGUGAGUGGAAUUGCGAGUGUAGAGGUGAAAUUCGUAGAUAUUCGCAAGAACACCAGUGGCGAAGGCGGCUCACUGGCCCGGAACUGACGCUGAGAUGCGAAAGCGUGGGGAGCAAACAGG
rnacentral:rRNA from 1 species